UACCCAUCCUUGAUUAAUAAAGAAAAGCUAACCAAGGACGCGUUUUGCACCACGCUGAUGAGAGCCACAGCCCGAAACGCGUUCUCAGUUAGCUUUUAUUGAUUAAUCAAUAAUGGGUAUUUGGCCAAUCUGUAAUAAUUAAAAAUCAACGAGAAUAGUUGAUAUUUAUUCCGAUAGAUGGCGCAAGCCAUCAGCAAAUUUUAGUUGCACGAUAAGGAUAUACGUUUUUCAUAAUUCUUUACUCCGUUUCAUGGAAUAUUAAAUAUAUAAUAAUAUGGAUAUGGAAUAUUAAAAAAAAGUAUAACUGUGUGUGACAGAAAGAUAUGGUAUAAGUACAACAGUCAAGUUUCCUCUAGAAGUUCCUAACGUAGAGAUCGUAGCCAUCUCUCACCUAUAACAGCAAUGUACCUGUCUAACCUUAUUGUGGGCAUAGGGGCUCUUAUUGUAAAAUUGCUAUGUAUAUGUAAAAGCUAUCCGAGAGGCCAAUAUUCUAGAGUAAAGUUGGGGAAAGAUGGGUGGACUCCUGCUGCGGGAGAUGGCCCAUGUGUGAAGGGAACAGGCGUCAGGAUGGCAUUCCAGUGUAGAGGAGAACACACAGUUUUGGUGAUUUCGGCGAUGACAGAAGACGCGGAGAGUUGCCUCCAGGCUUGUGGAUGAUCCUGCAAGACGGUGCCAGGAGAGCCUGACGCCGUAGCGACCUACAAACCGGUGUAGUCCAGGCUGGACAUGUACACUGUGGAGUGGAACGAUGGGGGUCGGUGGAAGGCUGGUUAAACCGCUUGGUUUUGACCACUACGACCCGGGUUCGAUUCCCGAAUUGGACACUUUUUUCUGUUAAAAAAAAAAAAAUGCUCCAAUGGCCCCCGAUUCUUGCAAAAGUCCAACCCCACAAGCGAGUGCAAGUAACCAAACGGGGCUCUGGCACAUUUGUAAGUGCAAAGUCGAACUGCUUUUCACAUGUGUAAGACAUGUGGUGCGCUUACAGUAAAAAGCAGUCGCUAACUACCCACCAUGAUUAUCAUGGCCUGUACCACGUGUACUAGGGAUAAGCAAAAAAAAAAAAAAAAAAAAAAUGUCUCAGAGGUAGUUGUGGUAGAGGUUUGCUUUGGCAUAAGGGAUAUUUUCCUUGAAUUCCGAGUUGUAAACUUUUUCUAUUUUAGUGGCUAUUAAUAGCCAUUCUGAGGGUUGUACGGAGUCUAUGGUGGCUAAAUAGGGUUUGAUUUUUUUUCUUAGCACUUGAUGUGGGGCCUCACUACAUUCCCUUGACCAUUAGUCUUCUUGAGUCCUCUUUAUUUCUUCCAGCAUGGUUUCCCCUCUCUGGUCUAGGUAGGGAUGGUCGUCUCUGUUGUCUGGGUGGCUGACGCUGUUGUUGUGGCCUCCCCUGCCAAUUCCAAUGGAAAACUCCUCCCCUAUAGUUCUGGCUAUUGACUCCUCUGUAGCCUCCCCUGUAGUUGGAAGGUGAUGGCCAUCUUUUGGUCUGGUCUUCUAAGAGCCACGUUCUCCACUUCCAGAGCCUUCAUCUUUUCCUCCAACUUAGCCAGUUUAUUGGCCAUGUCCCCAAGUUUCUGGCCACCUUAGUACAAAUAUUGAGAUCUGAUGUAUUAUUUGGAAUAUUUAUGGUAAUGUCCUCAUAGUACAAAUAUUGAGGUCUGAUGUAUUAUUUGGAAUAUUUAUGGUAAUGUCCUCAUAGUACAAAUAUUGAGGUCUGAUGCAUUAUUUGGAAUAUUUAUGGUAAUGUCUUCAUAGUACAAAUAUUGAGGUCUGAUGUAUCAUUUGGAAUAUUUAUGGUAAUGUCCUCAUAGUACAAAUAUUGAGGUCUGAUGUAUCAUUUGGAAUAUUUAUGGUAAUGUCCUCAUAGUACAAAUAUUGAGAUCUGAUGUAUUAUUUGGAAUAUUUAUGGUAAUGUCCUCAUAGUACAAAUAUUGAUAUCUGAUGUAUUAUUUGGAAUAUUUAUGACAAUGACAAUGAAAACGUCUUUAUUGACAUUUUAGUCAAUAGUACACUCCGGAGAGUUAAGAAAGACUAUUUACAAAUUCCUCAGAGAGAGUCAGGAUGACAAGGCGGCCCUGAGCCCGGAUAUUUUCUCGCAAAGAGAAGGAUCCAGGUCCAGGGCGCGCUCUAAGAGAGCGCCAAGUUGUUGGGCUAGAUUGGUUCUCUCCGUCAGCAGGAGUCGCGGGACGAAGUUCACCCUGUCCUUUAGAUCUAGGGUCGCAUCCACCAGAUCGAGGUGGUCGAUCCCUGAAUGGGACACAGGCUUCAGGUCGAGUUCCUCCAUGAAUUUUCCGUAAAGAGCCUGCGACUUCCUGAAACGGGUUAGGUUCGGGGUAUCCUCCACAUGUGUAGACGGUGGAGGCGGAGAUGUGGCCAUGGCCGGUGACGAUUCCAUGUCCUGGGGAGCGGGUGGUGUUGGCUCAGCAGGCCGAGGCGCAGGCAGUGGAGGUGUAGGCACUGCGGCUGGUGUUGUCCUCAGCUCAGCCUUAACCUGUCCUAAAGUACCUAUAUGGGAUUUAAUCCAAUAAAACUUAAUUGAUUCAUUUUUUUGCUUGAUAUUAAUUAAGAAUUUAGUUCUCAUUGUUGUCCAAGUCUUAGAUGAUGGGCUAUUGAGGGCUAAAAGAGAUGAUGAACUAUCGGAAGCAAUAUUUACAGAAUUAAAUUUAUUAUUAUCGUCGAACCAUUCUAGAGCCUUAAAGAUUGCAAUAUUUUCUGCUUGGAAAACACUAUUAUAAUAAAAUAAUAUAUAAGAUUUUUCAUAUAUAAAAAUAUUUUCAUAGAAUGCACACCAUCCCACACCAACACCAUUUUCAGAUUUAGAACCGUCAGUAUAAAUUUAUUUAUCUUUUGGUUGGGCUAUGGGAGUUGGUGUAAUCGGUAGGUUGGAAGCUAAGGCUGCCCUAUAGGACGGGCCGGGUGGUUGCAAAGUCUGUGUGCCGGUAGACGGCGUGCCAGUUGGCAAGUGUCCAGUUCCUGGUGGCGGUGUAGUUGUCAGAGGAAGGGGCCUCAGCCCGAAGCACUUCUGCGGCACCCCGAUGGACGUUGUUGGCUGAGGUGUUGAACCCCAGGUCGCGGUUGACAGCAGCGCUGCCUCUCUUUGCCCCCGCUCCAGGGAUGAUAUUCCCGUUCAGGGCAUGCUGCUCGCGGUUGUGAGCUUCCGCGAGAGCACGAAGGACGAGGCAGGGUCUAGCUUGCGCAGGUCCUCACCCAAAGGACCUGUGCCCCGGUAAAAUCCAGGAGAGGGGGAGUGCGCAGGGCCGUGGUCGGGGAGGUAAAGCCCACCGAGUGCCCGGAUGUUGGGGGCAUUGGGGGUAUUGCGGAGGUCGUGGGAGUGGGCACCGAUCCAGCAGAUGGGGCAGACCUUCCUCCCCAAGAUGAUCCGGAGGAAGGGACCGGCAUACUGGAGGGCGAGCGUGGUGGUCAACCAGUCUCUGGGCUGGGGGUUGUCUGCCCGUAUGGUGGCGAAGAAGGCGGAGGUGAGGAAAUGUUGCCUCAGAGCGUUCCGGCGGUGCCAGUCCGAAUUGCCUGCGCGCUCGGGGGGGGGGUAGUCGCAGACGGGGAAGCGCUCGGUCCAGGUGCGGGCAAGGGCGGCACCCCAGUUGCUGUUAGAGGUGACCGCGGAUCCGAUGGCGGCGUCGGGGUUCCAGCGGACCUGCUCAAGGAAGGCGCGGGCCCGGUCAGCGACAGAACGGCGCGGAGGAGCAGGUUGAGGGACACGGGCGGGCCUGUAGAUGGUGCGACCCUGCCGGUCAGCCCCUGUGGGAACGCGGCGCUGUGCGGCAUCUGCGACGCGCUCCUCGUGAGCAUGCUCCUCACGCUCGAGCUUGUAUUAUUUGGAAUAUUUAUGGUAAUGUUCUCAUAGAACAGAUAUUGAGAUCUGAUGUAUUAUUUGGAAUAUUUAUGGUAAUGUCCUCAUAGCACAAAUAUUGAGAUCUGAUGUUUUAUUUGGAAUAUUUAUGGUAAUGUCCUCAUAGUACAAACAUUGAGAUCUGAUGUAUUAUUUGGAAUAUUUAUGGUAAUGUCCUCAUAGUACAAAUAUUGAGAUCUGAUGUAUUAUUUGGAAUAUUUAUGGUAAUGUCCUCAUAGUACAAAUAUUGAGAUCUGAUGUAUUAUUUGGAAUAUUUAUGGUAAUGUCCUCAUAAUACAAAUAUUGAGGUGUGAUGUAUUAUUUGGAAUAUUUAUGGUAAUGUCCUCAUAGUACAAAUAUUGAGGUCUGAUGUAUUAUUUGGAAUAUUUAUGGUAAUGUCCUCAUAGUACAAAUAUCAAGAUCUGAUGUAUUAUUUGGAAUAUUUAUGGUAAUGUCCUCAUAGUACAAAUAUUUGAUUUAUAAAUGCUACGUCACCCCCCUCUUUAUUUCUAUAUUUUCUGAUAUUGUAGUUUUUAUAUUUGAGUUUGUAUUUUUCAUUUAAUUUGGGGUUUACUUCAGGGCUAUAAUUUGUACCUUGUGUUUGUCAGCUAUUUCCAUUAUUUCUUCUAAUUUUAUUUUUGUUGCCGUUGAACACAUUCCAUUUAUGUUGCACUUCAAAAUGCUUAAUUGUUUAGAAGCUGCAAAGUGUUGUGUGGAGACUGUAUUAUACUUAUCGGGCAGAACCCUCUACCAAUUAAUUGAAGGAAAGACUGUGAACACAGUGCUAAAAUUUGAGAUGAGGAUGGUGUUGUCCUUUACAUUUGACAAGCUUCUUAUACACAAGGGGUUUGAUUCAUCUUGGGGCUUGUGCGAGGAUUUCACGAUGGGUUGAAUGUUGAACAUAGAACAAACCUGUCUGUGUGAAAUGAUGACAGAGCAGACAAGAUCAGCGAUGAUAUUUACAUACAUUUGUGGGAAAUAUUGGAUGUAGGUUAUAGCGUGCUGUUAUGGACAAGGGACAAACAUAUACGCUGCGUGACAUUGAAAAUGGAACACCAAGAAAUAGUGGCCAGAAAGUGAUGAAACUCGGCAGACAGAGAGAGACAGGGACGAACAAUAAGUGAUCUUUAUUUCAAAAUGAUAGUCAUAAUACAGAGCGAGAACGGCGUUUGCUUAGUAGCAAGUAGAACCACCGCGGACGGUGAUGCAUGCAGCAACACGUCUAGGUAGAGAUUCAAUCAGAGUACGGAUGGCGUCCUGAGGGAUGCCUCUCCAUUCCCUCUCAACCAUUUGCCACAGUUCGUCUUCUGAAUGCGGCUGUGGCAAGGCAUGCAAACGGCGUCCAAUGAUGUCCCAGACGUGCUCGAUUGGUGAGAGAUCAGGAGAGUACGGUGGCCAGGGAAGCAUCUGUACAUCUUGCAGAGCUUGUUGGCUAAUGCGAGCAGUGUGCGUUCGGGCGUCCUCAUAGUACAAAUAUUGAGAUCUGAUGUAUUAUUUGGAAUAUUUAUGGUAAUGUCCUCAUAGUACAAAUAUUGAGGUGUGAUGUAUUUUUUGGAAUAUUUUUGGUAAUGUCCUCGUAGUACAAAUAUUGAGAUACUAGCCGAGUGACCCGGGCAACGCCCAGGGUUUACCCAAAGGGCCUGCAGAGACUUUAAAAGUAUAGAUGGUGGCUUAAAAAUCGCAAUGGGUAUAUUCCGAUUUCCUAGAAGCAGCAUUUCAAGUAAGGAUAAGUAAAAAUACUUUCUAAGUAUAAAUUCGUUAAUUCGACCAUGUUUUGAUUUCCAGAACCUAUGAAAUUACAAACAGUAAUUCGACAAUGAUUUGAUUUCCCAAUCUCUGGCCUAUCAAAUAACAAACGGUAAUUCAACAAUAUUAAUUAUUCACCACUUCUGAUAAUUCAACCAUUUUAAAAUGCAAAUUUCGACGAUUGAUGUUUACUUACAACUUUACUAAUAAAAAGGUAUUAUAGAUGCGAGCAACGAAACAUUUUGAACCCAUAUAACACAAAUUCAUAUCCUCACUUAUAGGGUGUCAAGCCUAAAGGAUGCAAAUUCAUGUCCCUGAUUUCUAAAAUUUAACAUAAAAUUGUAGGCUACCAACGCGAAUUCGCGUCUACUGGGAUCUUUUCCCAUACCUUCUUGCCUAUUUAUCAGUGGGUUGGGUUCGGGGAAAUGUCAGCUGUCCCAAUGUACCUGUAAAAUGUCACAUGCGACCGAGUUCAAGCAGCCAUUAUUUUUAUUUAUUUCAAGCUAUAUAGAUUACAUUAAAAGAAAAUAGCAUUUUUUAAACAUGUUUUUAUAUGAACAACUCGAUUUUCAUACGGCCCACUGGACCAUGUAACUCUGGAAUCAUAAGUGCAAAAACAGACAUCCCUAAAGGACUCCUUUAAAAUAUCUUCAUGAUUCUUUUUUAAUAAUAUUCUUAAACAUUUUUAAUUUUUUUUCAUAUUUAUUUACUUUUCAAUAUAGAAAAUAAGAUAACAUAAAAGGGAUAAAUUCAUUUAAUGGACCUCACUAAAAACUGCAUUUCUAGCCGAGUGACCCGGGCAAAGCUCCAGGUUUACCCUAAAGGCCUGUGAAUGGGCAGGAUAACCAUAUGUGUGCCAUUGCAAAGAUCCUAAAUCAAUGUAUAGAGCACUGGGGAAAAUAGGUAAAGACCAAAAGUCAAAAUAAUAAUAAAUAAUUUUAUUAAUGAACAAAUAAUACAAAAAAUUCCUUUCAGGUGAGAAACUAUAGGCAUUGGUGAAAACUUUAAACAAUUAUAUUGAAAAAAAAAAUAAAAGAAAACAAAUCUUAAAAGAUAAUUCAAUACAACACAACUAUAUAGCAAAUAUAGCCAUAAUUUCUAGCCGAGUGACCCGGCAACGCCCCGGGUUUACCCUAAAAACAUGUGAAGCGCUAGAUAACCAUAUGUGUGCCAUUGCAAAGAUCCUGAAUCAAUGUAUAGGGCACUGGGGAAAAUAGGUAAAGACUAAAAAUCAAAAUACUUAAUUAUAAAUAUUUUAUUAGUGAACAAAUAAUACAAAAAAAUCCUUUCAGGUGAGAAACUAUAGGCAUUGGUGAAACUUUAAACAAAUUUAUUGGAAAUGAAACAAAAAUUAAAAGAAAACAAAUCUUAAAAGAAAAUUAAAUACAAAACAAAAAUAUAGCAAAUUAGACAACAUAAAAGGCAUACAUUCAUUUAUUUGAAAUGAAAAAAAAAAUAAAAAGAAAACAAAUCUGAAAAUAAAAUUGAAUACAACACAACUAUAUAGCAGAUAAGACAACAUAAAAAGGAUUAAUUCAUUUAAAGGACCUCAAUAAAAACUACAUUUCUAGUUUUAUAAAUACGUGGGUUCAACUUUACCCGUAUGCUAUUCAAAGUUCGCACACGUGAAAAAGCCACAUAGAGCUGUCCAUGAGUAAACAUGGGCUCUUGUAGCAAGAGACCCACUCUAGCAAAGGUUUGGCCUUGAGCCUUAUUAAUAGUCAUGGCAAAAGCCAACCUUAGUGGAAACUGACGCCUCUUCAGAAUGAAGGGAAGGUUGGUAUCUGAAGGAGCCAAAGAUAUUUUUGGCACCAAUACAGUGUGUCCAACUUUGGUCCCUGUCAGUAUUUGUGCUUCUAGGACAUGAGAGCGCAUGCGCUGGAUAACCAUACGUGUGCCAUUGCAGAGACCCUGCUUAGGAUUCAAAUUUCUAAGGAGCAUAACAAUAGCACCAAUCUUAAGGUUUAACCGGUGUGGAGGCAUUCCUGUGGGAGUAAGGCUAUUAAGGAAUUCAGUAGGGUAGUUAUUUUGUUCCUCCACAUUCUCACACUCGACACUGUCAACACUGAGAAAACACUGACUCCUGUUUGGUAAGCGAUCCAAAACUUUUUCAUUAAUCUCUAAUGAAUCUGUGUUUUUUGGCGUUAAAAUCACAGACUGGCUAAGGGCGGUAAUAUCACCAUAGGAAGAACCAAAUAUUUCCUGCACCAGGUCAACCCCAUGAAAGAUACAGCUUUCUGGAAGAGAAAUGAGGCCCUGUUGGUCUGUAGGUAGAUCACCAUCACCAACUUUAAGUAACCAUUGAGAGAAGCUCUGUGCAUCAAUACCUGCUCGCAUAUUCUGAGUAAGGCGCAAGAUCACAAACAAUGGCCAUAGCUUGCUUUGCUUAAUGCAAGCAGCAACAAUUUCAGCUCUUGAAGCUCGAGGUACCACAGGUAGCACUUGGCGAAAGUCACCUCCAAGAACAACAACCUUUCCGCCAAAAGCAAGGUCACAAUGCAUAAUGUCCUUUAGGAGACGAUCCACAAUUUCAAGUGCUCUGUAGUGGGCCAUAGGAGCCUCAUCCCAAAUAAUUAAGGAUGAUCUACGAAUAAGCUCAGCCUCAGAACUAUUGGCCGAGAUCGCAGCUUCAGAAUUCUCAAGCAAGGGAAUCGGCAGCUUAAACCUGGAAUGGACAGUCUGGCCACCUGACAAAAGGGUAGCCGCUAUUCCAGUGGAGGCCAGCGGAAUGACAAUUUUUCCAACGGCUCUAACACAAUGAAUUAGGGUGUUAUAAACAUAAGUCUUGCCCGUACCACCAGGCCCAUCAAUAAAAAAGCAACGUGGAUUUACAUUGAGGGAAUCAACAAUUGUGUCAACAAUUGACUUUUGAUCUGGUGUAAGGGACCUAUACAUUUGUGUCCCAAUUUGCAGCUCUGCAUUAACAUCAAGGGGAUCCUCUCCUGAAUCAAGAAGUGGGGUUAGGGGUGCAGGAAGUCCAUAAUGGUGGCAACUGAGGCGAUUUUCUCUCAGCUGGAAUUCAAGCUCUCUGAGAGUCAUCUGUUCAGCAGCUGCGUCAGAUGUUGCACGAGAAAAGUCCUCACUAAGAUACCCCUUGUAUUUGGUCCACAGUGAUACAGGGUCGGUUGGAUUAUUGUAGAUGAGAAUUGUUGCAAAGAGCUGCCGCAGUUGACAAGGCAUUUGGAACAAAGCCGCCUCAGCCAAGCAUGCAUCCCAUUCAGAAUCAUCAGCCAAUAAUCCACAGCGCUGGGCAGCCUCUUUAAAAGUGGAGCAAACAAUAUCAUCCACAGUUCGCAAAUCUUCAAAACUCUGAGCACCUGCAACAUGUAAUAGUAGAAGCCGGAGGUGGUAACGCUCAGAAUCUUUAGGAUUCACUGAACACCUACGUCCAAU